CAGGACUAAAGCCGGUGCCUGAACCGUUCGAGCUGUUCGCGGGGGGUCUCCUGCGCACCGUCAAGCGCCGCGCCAAAUCGGAACGGCGCCGGCGAGGUUGUUAAUGCUGUAUCGUUGUCGGCGAUGGUGACCGUAGUGGCACCGAUCGCUCCUACUAAGCCACCCACCGGAUUGCUGAGCGUGAUCGGGAAGGUCUCAGUCCCUUCGACGUACGCGUCGUCAGUGAUCAGCACGGAGAACGUCUUACUAGUGUCGCCGGGAUUGAAAGUGAGCGUUCCCUGAGUGCGAAUGAAAUCGCAAUUCUGCGUCGCCAGACCCGCGAUGUUUUGUGGAUCGCCAGGUGUGCAAGACCGGUAGGUGUUAUUGCCGGUAGUGAAAUCAAACGAAAGAAGGUUCCCGCUGUUUCGACUGACCUGUCGACGGUGAUAGUCACGC
rnacentral:rRNA from 1 species